GAGGAUGGAUAGAGGGAGGGGGAGAGGAAAGGAGAAGGGUGACUCUCCCUCAGUGAGGAUGGAUAGAGGUAGGGGGAGAGGAAAGGAGGAGGAGGAGAAGGGUGACUCUCCCUCAGUGAGGAUGGAUAGAGGGAGGGGGAGAGGAAAGGAGGAGGGUGACUCUCCC